UACGGGGGGAGCAAGCGUUGUUCGGAUUUACUGGGCGUAAAGGGCGCGUAGGCGGCCAGCACAAGUCAGUUGUGAAAUCUCCGAGCUUAACUCGGAAAGGUCAACUGAUACUGGCGACCUAGAGUGCGGUAGAGGGGUGUGGAAUUCCCGGUGUAGCAGUGAAAUGCGUAGAUAUCGGGAGGAACAUCUGUGGCGAAGGCGACACCCUGGACCAGCACUGACACUGAGGCACGAAAGCGUGGGGAGCAAACAGG
rnacentral:rRNA from 1 species